rnacentral:rRNA from 1 species
UCAGGAUGAACGCUAGCGGCAGGCCUAAUACAUGCAAGUCGUACGGGAUAGACACUUCGGGUGUCUUGAGGGUGGCGCACGGGUGCGCAACGCGUAUGCAACCAACCCCCGACGGGCGGAUAGCCGGUGGAAACGCCGGAUAAUACGCCAUGGCUCCUUUGGGUGGCAUCACCUGGAGGAUAAAGCAGCGAUGCGGUCGGGACGGCAUGCGUCCCAUUAGAUUGUAGGCGGGGUGACGGCCCACCUAGUCGACGAUGGGUAGGGGAUCUGAGAGGACGGUCCCCCACACUGGUACUGAGACACGGACCAGACUCCUGCGGGAGGCAGCAGUAAGGGAUAUUGGGCAAUGGUCGGAAGACUGACCCAGCCAUGCCGCGUGAGGGAAUGAGGCCCUACGGGUCGUGAACCUCUUUUAUUCGGGGACAAGGCGGCGCACGAGAUGCGUUGUUGAGGGUACCGAAGGAAUAAGCAUCGGCUAACUCCGUGCCAGCCGCUGC